rnacentral:rRNA from 1 species
AUGAACAAGAUGAAGAGCCACGGCAGCAAGCACCGGGGAGGAUCCGGAGGAGGAGGGCUGAGCAGGAUGCUGAGGGAGCACAAGGCCAGGCUCUACAUCAUCCGCCGAUGCGUCGUCGCGCUCCUCUGCUACCACGACUAG